UACAGAGGGUGCGAGCGUUGUUCGGAAUUAUUGGGCGUAAAGCGCUGGUAGGUGGCUUGUUAAGUCGCGUGUGAAAGCUCCAGGCUCAACCUGGAAAGUGCGCGCGAAACUGGCGAGCUUGAGUGUCGGAGAGGAUCGCGGAAUUCCGGGUGUAGAGGUGAAAUUCGUAGAUAUCCGGAGGAACACCCGGAGGCGAAGGCGGCGAUCUGGAAGACCACUGACACUGAGCAGCGAAAGCGUGGGGAGCAAACAGG
rnacentral:rRNA from 1 species